rnacentral:rRNA from 1 species
GACGAACGCUGGCGGCGUGCUUAACACAUGCAAGUCGAACGGAAAGGCCCUGCUUGCCGGGUACUCGAGUGGCGAACGGGUGAGUAACACGUGGGUGAUCUGCCCUGCACUUCGGGAUAAGCCUGGGAAACUGGGUCUAAUACCGGAUAGGAGCCAUUUUUAGUGUGAUGGUUGGAAAGUUUUUUCGGUGUAGGAUGAGCUCGCGGCCUAUCAGCUUGUUGGUGGGGUAAUGGCCUACCAAGGCGGCGACGGGUAGCCGGCCUGAGAGGGUGGACGGCCACAUUGGGACUGAGAUACGGCCCAGACUCCUACGGGAGGCAGCAGUGGGGAAUAUUGCACAAUGGGCGCAGGCCUGAUGCAGCGACGCCGCGGGGGGGAGGACGGCCUUCGGGUUGUAAACGCCUUUCGCUAGGGACGAAGCUUUUUGUGACGGUACCUAGAGAAGAAGCACCGGCUAACUACGUG